ACUAGGCACAUGCCUGUAGUCCCAGAUACUCGGGACGCAAAGGAAGAAGGAUCCUUUGAGUCCAGGAAUUCUGGCUGUAGCAUGCUAUGCUGAUUGGGUGUCCGGACUAAGUUUCAGCAUCACUUAUGGUGACUCCCGGGAAAAGGAGAGCCAUUCAGGUUGCCUAAAAAGGGGUGUGCCAGCCCAGUUCAGGAAUAGAGCAGGUCAAAACUCCAUUGCUGAUCACUAGUGGGAUCAUGGCUGUGAAUAGCCACUGCUCUCCGCCUGGCAACAAGAUGAGUGAGAAUGUGUCUCU
rnacentral:SRP_RNA from 1 species